GGCCCUAUAGCUCAAUGGAUAGAGCCCCGGUCUUCUAAACCGACUAUACAGGUUCGAUUCCUGUUAGGGUCA
rnacentral:tRNA from 2 species